rnacentral:rRNA from 1 species
UGGGGAAUAUUGCACAAUGGGCGCGAGCCUGAUGCAGCCAUGCCGCGUGUGUGAAGAAGGCCUUCGGGUUGUAAACACUUUCAGCGGGAGGAAGGCGGUGAGGUUAAUAACCUCAUCGAUUGACGUUACCCGCAGAACGAAGCACCGGCUAACCGUCCGUGCCAGCAGCCGCCGGUAAUACGGAGGGUGCAAGCGUUAAUCGGAAUUACUGGGCGUAAAGCGCACGCAGGCGGUCUGUCAAGUCGGAUGUGAAAUCCCCGGGCUCAACCUGGGAACUGCAUUCGAAACCGGCAGGCUAGAGUCUUGUAGA